UAGACACUGAUAGACAUUCUGAGGACAACAAAAUACAAUGAAGAAAAAGAUCCUCAGGACUCUACAAGGACACCAACCCUUGGAACACAGAGAGGAGUUGCCUCUAAGGACACCUGUGUGAAGACUACAAGGGAGAAAAAGACUUCCAACCAUCGGGAACUGUGUUUAUCUUUUGGCCACAUAUGUUCUUUAUCUUGGAGCCCCCUCUACCCAGAGUAUGCCCCCACUUCAUGGGGAUGUUUCUGUAACAACUUAGCACAGUGUCUGGCAUGUAGAGGGCAUUAAUAAAUGCUUAGCAACUGAAAAAAAAAAAGAGAAAAAAGAAAAACGGCUCCCAGACCAGCCAACUCUUCGUUUCCCAUCAGCACUCCUUAGACUGAACUUCACCAUGUCUCCUAAGCCCAGUGACAAAAAAUGGCAUAGGGGAUAAUGGUGUGAUUUGGUGGAAAGAACUCAGGACUUGGAAUCAGGAGAUCCCUGUUCAAACACUCAAGAACUACAGGAUCAGAGGGGCCCUCUGAGGAGCUGGAGACAAGGGGAAGAGAGGAGGAGAUAACUUGGAAUCCUAGACCUUCAGAGACAGGACUCUUAGACAUUGGUCCCAACACUCGAACCCAGGCAUCUUGAUUCCAAGGUUUUCUCUUGUCACCUGCUGCGGCUUCACUGACUGCAUGAGGAAUUACUCAACUCUAGCUGCCAUGCAGUGCACUGGUUCCCCUACUGGCCAACCUGUGCAAUGAUCCUUUCUCCUUUUAGUUCAACCCAAACAAGUCUGGAUUUUUGCAGAAAAGGCUUCUACCAUGAAUCUAAAGGAAAGUGGGAAGAAGGAAGAGUGGGAGAAGGAAGAAAUCCAAUACCCUAUCCAAGCAUUGGAAUGGAUAAUUUUACAAAGUACAAAGAUUUCUAGUUCCAAAUUAACCAAUAUUCAGCUAAAGAUCAGGUUUGCUGGAACAGAUUAGGGGUAUUUGGGUCCCUCCCUUUCCCUCUUUUCAACAAUAUCUGGGAAACUCAACCCCUAUUCAGAAUUUCAGGAUAUCUCCUUCUAGUUUCCCAGCAUUCCCCAUCCCCUAUCCCCUCCAAAGAUGGAAGAAAGCUCUAGACUAGUAGAUCAGAAAAUCUGGAUUUUAAUCCAGCCUUUGCCAAUGACUAAAGCUGUGACCUUGAACAAAUAAUUUGUCUUGUCUAGCCUCGGUUUCCACAUCUAUAAAGGAAGGUGGUCAGGGUAGAUAAGAGGCAUCCAGAUUGUUUCAAUAGUUUGCCAUAUGAUCAACAAUCCCUAUGUGUGGGUAUCACAUGAAUUGUACUAUAUGAUUAAUCACAUUCUACUUCAUUUACAUGAUUAAAUGAAAAUUGGCAUCAUUCAAUUACACAAUGGCAUUGGUUAGGCCCUCCAGGGCCAGCUAGUUCAUAUGUAUUGGCUGACUAGAUAAAACAUUUUUUUGGUUGGGUUUGAAAAUCUUAGAUGUGCCAUGCCCCAAAGUCAAGAUGGCACAUUUGAGCCCAGACCAUAAAUUGCAUGAUCAGGAAAUAAAUCAUUUCUAAGGUCCUUCCCAGCUUUGAUGUUUUCUGUUCUUGGGUCUUUUCUAGUCUAACAUUCUUUUGACCCUUUUACCUUUAACAUUCUAUGGCUCUGUGAGGAUAGAACCAGGCUCUGGUCCCAUUCAUCUUGUCAGGCUGAUAAAUGGCUAAUGGUUCAUAGGAUUUUAGAGCUGGAAGACAAUCUAGAAGUCACUUAGAUUGAUCCACUUAUUUUUCAGGUAAGGAAACUGAAGUCUGAAAAAGUAAAGAGACAAGACCAGUUUUUAUCGGACAGAUAAAAUUGUUAGUAAAGAAUUGAAUCCUUGUCUCCUGACUCCAAUACCAAUGACAAUUCCAUUAUAGCAUGCCAUCUCCCACUAGGUUAAGAUAGAGGAAGUGCUUAUUUAAAUGCCAUGACUAGCACAAUCGAAAUCUGCCUGGCCAGGCUCAUACCCAGUGGGUCUCUCCUGCCCCUUCUGAAGGGAGCAGUCUAAUUCUCCCACAUGUUCUUCUUUUCACAUCCUAUUUUUUAAUCUCACUACUUCCUCCCCUGUAGACAGAUAAAAGUUAGAAUCUGUAAUGAUGUCAUUAGGAAUAAAUCAAUGUUCUUUCCUCUUUUUUAUGGAAUCAUAUGUUUUAACAAACCAACUCACA